rnacentral:rRNA from 1 species
GACGAACCGUGCGAACGUUGUUCGGAAUCACUGGGCUUAAAGGGCGCGUAGGCGGGACGGCGAGUCUGUGGUGAAAUACCUCGGCUUAACCGAGGAACAGCCGUGGAUACUGCCGGCCUCGAGGAGGGUAGGGGCAUCUGGAACGAGCGGUGGAGCGGUGAAAUGCGUUGAUAUCGCUCGGAACUCCGGUGGCGAAGGCGAGGUGCUGGACCCUUUCUGACGCUGAGGCGCGAAAGCCAGGGGAGCAAACGGG